CCCACACGGCACUUUCCAAUUUUAGCUUCCUAAGGGCCCCAGGCAGCCACGGCAUUCCUGCAAGGGUCUUGGGAAGUGUAUGCGUGGGUGUGUGUAGGGGCCACCAUCGAUAAUGCCCCCUCCCCCGCCGCCCUGGCCCUCAUCCAGACUGAUUGUAGGGACUGAAGGGACACUGAAGGAAGGGCUUGAAAUUCUAUGAUCCUGGCUUCCUGCAGUACCGCCAGUGGAAACCCGCUCUACGCCUUGUCAGAGGAGAGCACCAGGGAGCUGCCCAAAACCAUCAAUGAUGCUGGGUUUCUGUCCUCCACCCUCUCAGGCUCCUGAUACAGAGAAAUACUCUUGGAGAAGUGCUGGUGGCCAUUUCAGACUCCCAGAUGGAAUCUCAGAAACCGUUCUGAGGAAGAGGAAAAGGAGUUGUCCAAAGACCUAUGUACAACAUCCAGAAAGAGGGAGAUGACAGCCCUGUUGUUCUGGUCAGACUGCAUCUGGAACAUUGUCAUCAGUUCUCUGGGGAUCACAUUUUAGGAAGGAUAUUAACAACCUGGAAAGCAUCUGAAGGAAUAUAACUAGGACUAUGAAGAGACUUGAACCCAUGAUAUGUGAGGAUCAGUCCCAACAGAUGGGUCCCUGAUGAACAGAUACAACUUUCUACAGGAAAGAGCAAACAAUAUGAUAAAAGAGAAGUGAACAGAACAGAUUAC